rnacentral:lncRNA from 10 species
AAAAGUGUCUCAGUUGCUGUGUUUAGAGAACAUCAAAGAUAAACCCUGGCAUAUUUGUGCUAGUGAUGCCAUAAAAGGAGAAGGCUUGCAAGAAGGUGUAGACUGGCUUCAAGAUCAGAUCCAGACUGUGAAGACAUGAAAAGAUAAUAGUUGGAAACCUCAGCAAUUUUCAAUUCAAGGAAUCUAUCUAAGACAAAUAGAAUACAUUUUGUAAAAGAUGUUUAUGCAUCAAAAAAUAUAAUUUUCUGCUUGCAUUUAUGGACUCUGACCUUUUUAAGAACAUAGGACUUCAGGUAUGCUAAUUUGGCCAUUAAUUAUUUAAAAACUAAAUAUUCCCUCAAAAGGGCUCCCUAGAAUUAUCAAGUUCUUAGUGAAGGUCUACAUUUGAUUGUACGUAGAAUGUUUAAAAGUCAGUUAUAAGCCAUCUCAUCCCAUCAUAAUUUAUGAUAUGUUUAAUAUAUUUUAUUUUUUAAUUGUCUUUUUAAAAAAUUUAGUUUAUGACUUUGCAGUAUGAAUUGUGCUUGUGAAAAAGAACUUUAAAUAUUUAUAAGGGACCAUGGGUAAUUAAUAUAUAUUCAAUUUUUACUAUGUGUCACUGUCAAUAAAAUGUAAAAUAUAAUGUGC